rnacentral:rRNA from 1 species
AUGUACCCGGCCUUCCUGGCCAUGUACGCCAUCAUCUACUGUGUCGGUGAAUUGAGCUUGUUCUGGCGUUGGGAGUGGAGGCAUCGGCUGGAUGGCGCUAGCUGCCUCAUCUCACUCACGCACGGCUCCACUGACGCGCUGGCGGCGAUCGCCCACCACGUCGCCAUGCUUUUUGUCUUCUUCACAUGUCGCUACGUCGUCCACCAUGGCGCAUAUGCACUCCUCAAUGUGUGGACACUCAUCGGGAUCAGGCGAGCCGAGGUUCCCGCCACUGCAAGUGUGUACAACACUUUGUCGCCGGCGUUCUAUGUGCUAUACACCAUCGUUAGGGGCGUUGUUGUGGAUCUCAUCCCCUGGUGGGUGCGCAUAUCUUGGAUCAUUGUCGUCAGCGCUACUAUCAUGGUGAGCAACUUUUGGAUUUGGAACCUUUGGAAGACACUGUUAAAGGAACGGAAGCAGAGCAUUGGAAAAAAGACACAUAGUAGAAUAAUUAUUAGUGGCUCAAUCUGUUACUAUUUGUGGUGA